GAUGAACGCUGGCGGCGUGCCUAAUACAUGCAAGUCGAGCGAACAGACGAGGAGCUUGCUCCUCUGACGUUAGCGGCGGACGGGUGAGUAACACGUGGAUAACCUACCUAUAAGACUGGGAUAACUUCGGGAAACCGGAGCUAAUACCGGAUAAUAUAUUGAACCGCAUGGUUCAAUAGUGAAAGACGGUUUUGCUGUCACUUAUAGAUGUAUCCGCGCCGCAUUAGCUAGUUGGUAAGGUAACGGCUUACCAAGGCGACGAUGCGUAGCCGACCUGAGAGGAUGAUCGGCCACACUGGAACUGAGACACGGUCCAGACUCCUACGGGAGGCAGCAGUAGGGAAUCUUCCGCAAUGGGCGAAAGCCUGACGGAGCAACGCCGCGUGAGUGAUGAAGGUCUUCGGAUCGUAAAACUCUGUUAUUAGGGAAGAACAAAUGUGUAAGUAACUAUGCACGUCUUGACGGUACCUAAUCAGAAAGCCACGGCUAACUACGUG
rnacentral:rRNA from 1 species